UUUUGAGUUUUAUUACUCUUUAGAAAUUGUGACUUUUUUUAGUUUUGAUUUUUUUUCCCAUUGUUAGACUCAUAACUAAGGCUCUAAAGGAUCGAUUUUAGUUUUCCUGUUUGUUUGCACUGUGUAUUUGGUUUUUGAUUUUCCUAACCUGAGUUUAUAUGUGAGUGCAUGGUUUUCAGCUGUUUCCAGUCUAUUCCAGAGAUACCACAUAUGACCCACACUGGGAGCAGUGCUCUUCAAGAUUACAAGGACCUCAGCUGAAAUACGAGACUCUAUAAAGUUUGCUGACUGAUCAUAUCGAUGUCCUCCACUCUGUCCCUGCUGAGCCCAGCUAUGAAAUAUUAAACCCACCUGGAGACUGUGGAGGGUCACCUCAACCUGUCAGCAAGCCUUCUGCCAAAACCCUUUCCUUUGGGUGUAGUUAAAUGAGAGCAAAAAGAUACUGCAAAACCGGCUGCAUUUCUCCAGCAAUUUCUGGUUUUGUUUUCACAAAUUGCCAGAUUGUCAGCACGUUGCGGUUCAUGGGAGCUUGCUGCCACAUUUCCCACAGUGCAUCACAGGCCAAACAGAAUGUCCCUAACCAUGAUGCUGCCAGACCUGAUGAGAUUUUCCCGGAAUUUCUGAUUGUUGUUGUUUGAAGAAGUAUUAUUUGAGUCGUUUUCAUUUUGGCUUAAUUUCCCGUCCCCCAGUUCUUCAAUAAUAAACGCAGAGAGAUUGCUGGAGAAACUCAGCAGGUCUGGCAGCAUCUAAGGAGAGAGAAACAAAGUUAACAUUUUGAGUCCAAUUGGAAUCUUCCUCAGAACCAAGUUUUCCACGCUCACUGAAAGAUGCCAGCUCACACUGAGCUACAGUUUCACAGGUUUUGACAACAACAUCAACCUAAAUUCAUACCGCACCUUUCAAACAUUCCAAACAAAGCAUCUCACAGAACAAAGAAUAACACGAGGUCAACAGCUUAGAGAGAGAGAGAGAGAGAGACAAACGUUUCAUUUAUGAUCGAGGUCAUAGCGCCAUAGAAUCUUCAGGUUGUACAGAACAGAAACAGACCCUUCACAGUCCUAACUCGUUCAUGC